rnacentral:rRNA from 1 species
UACAGAGGGUGCAAGCGUUGUUCGGAAUUAUUGGGCGUAAAGCGCGUGUAGGCGGCUUUGCAAGUCGGGUGUGAAAGCCCUCAGCUUAACUGAGGAAGUGCGCCCGAAACUGCAAGGCUUGAGUACCGGAGAGGAUGGUGGAAUUCCCCAAGUAGAGGUGAAAUUCGUAGAUAUGGGGAGGAACACCGGUGGCGAAGGCGACCAUCUGGACGGAUACUGACGCUGAGACGCGAAAGCGUGGGUAGCAAACAGG